UAAGUAAGUUCCAAUUUACUUACUCAUUCGGCACUUUUUUUACUUAUUUAUUAAAUUAAGUCACUUUUAUUUUGUAUUUAUCAAGCAAGUUUAUUCCAAUUAAGUGCUGAAAUUUCAGUACUAAUCUAUAAAAAAGAAUAUUUAUUUUUCCUAAUCCAAAUAGAAUUCCACUAGAUUUUUCAAGCGAAAAAGAAACUCUGAGUUUGUUGAAUUCUCAUCGUGCUGCUAACGUUCAAUUCAAUUAAAAGCUUCUCUGUUUCCAUUCACCCUCUGCUUAUCCUAUCUCGAUCACACCUUUGCCAUCGUCACCAGCGCCGGAUCGUUGCCUCUCCUUGGAGCCCUUUGCUGCCCCUACUACACCACGACGUGCUGUUACCGUCCCCCUCCACAGUGUCCACCGACUACCUGCUGUUACUUCCCGCUCCACCGCGUUCACUGCUGCUCAGGCCACACCGCGACCAAUUCCAGAAUUUCUCGGGAAACUUGGGAUUUUGGUCAAUUUGGGUAAGAAGAGCAGUUCGACGAGAUAAUGGCGCCAAGGAGGAAGAAAAAUGACAAGCCCAAAGAGUCCGGGCAAUCUGACAAAUUAGCGGUAAUGCAAGCUGCAAGCACAGAAAGCUCAAAUACAAGAAAGUUUCAGUGAGACUUGGCCAAAAAAAAAAAAAGUUUCAGGAGAUGCAGGGAUAGCGGUUACUGGAUUGAAUGCCCGUGUCAAUGACUACGGGAACAACAUACGCGUUUCAGGAUAUGUUAGGACAAUAGUUUCUGCAAAUGGUACUUUCAUGUGUUAUACAGGUACGCGAUAACCAGGUGGAAGUUCAAACUCAAGAAGGCGGGGGCACAAUAGUUUCGGGUGACUGUGGGGACAAUAGUUGCUGUUGCUGGAUCCACUGUUCGUUUGGUUGGUAAUGGGGUCAAUAUAUGUAUGUAAUGUGCAGUAGUAGCAUCUGUCUUGGGGUUUAAUGAAUGAAGUUGCUUUCUAGUGAUGUUUCUGCUGUACAAUCUUAUCUUCUUGACAUUAUUAUCACAAUAUUGUUCUUCAGUGGACCAUCUUUGUAAGUUCAUCCUUCUAUAUCUCUUUGUCUCGC